rnacentral:rRNA from 1 species
CACGGGGGGAGCAAGCGUUGUUCGGAAUCACUGGGCGUAAAGGGCGUGUAGGCGGUCCGGUAAGUGAGAUGUGAAAUGCCUCGGCUCACCCGAGGACCUGCAUCUCAAACUGCCUGACUCGAGUACGGGAGAGGAUGAGGGAAUUCCUGGUGUAGCGGUGAAAUGCGUAGAUAUCAGGAGGAACACCGGUGGCGAAAGCGCUCAUCUGGCCCGAUACUGACGCUGAGACGCGAAAGCGUGGGGAGCAAAC